UACGUAGGGUGCGAGCGUUAUUCGGAAUUACUGGGCGUAAAGCGUGCGCAGGCGGUUUGCUAAGACAGAUGUGAAAUCCCCGGGCUUAACCUGGGAACUGCAUUUGUGACUGGCAAGCUAGAGUAUGGCAGAGGGGGGUAGAAUUCCACGUGUAGCAGUGAAAUGCGUAGAGAUGUGGAGGAAUACCGAUGGCGAAGGCAGCCCCCUGGGCCAAUACUGACGCUCAUGCGCGAAAGCGUGGGGAGCAAACGGG
rnacentral:rRNA from 1 species